CAGCACAGGUAGCAAUACCGGGUGGCGACCGGCGCACGGGUGAGUAACGCGUAUGCAACUUACCUAUCAGAGGGGGAUAACCCGGCGAAAGUCGGACUAAUACCGCAUAAAGCAGGGAUCCCGCAUGGGAAUAUUUGUUAAAGAUUCAUCGCUGAUAGAUAGGCAUGCGUUCCAUUAGGCAGUUGGUGAGGUAACGGCUCACCAAGUCCACGAUGGAUAGGGGUUCUGAGAGGAAGGUCCCCACAUUGGUACUGAGACACGGACCAAACUCC
rnacentral:rRNA from 1 species